rnacentral:rRNA from 1 species
GACGAACGCUGGCGGCGUGCUUAACACAUGCAAGUCGAACGGUGAAGCGCCUUCCUUUUUGGUGGGUGUGGAUGAGUGGCGAACGGGUGAGUAACACGUGAGUAACCUGCCCCCUUCUUCUGGAUAACCGCAUGAAAGUGUGGCUAAUACGGGAUAUUCUGGGUCUGUCGCAUGAUGGGUCUGGGAAAGAUAUUGUUUCGGUGGGGGAUGGGCUCGCGGCCUAUCAGCUUGUUGGUGGGGUGAUGGCCUACCAAGGCGGUGACGGGUAGCCGGCCUGAUAGGGUGGACGGUCACACUGGGACUGAGACACGGCCCAGACUCCUACGGGAGGCAGCAGUGGGGAAUAUUGCACAAUGGGCGCAAGCCUGAUGCAGCGACGCCGCGUGAGGGAUGGAGGCCUUCGGGUUGUGAACCUCUUUCGCCAGUGAAGCAGGCCUGCCUCGUUUGUGGGUGGGUUGACGGUAGCUGGAUAAGAAGCGCCGGCUAACUACG